rnacentral:rRNA from 1 species
UACGUAGGGUCCAAGCGUUAAUCGGAAUUACUGGGCGUAAAGAGCUCGUAGGCGGCUUGUUGCGUCGACCGUGAAAACCCGGGGCUCAACUUCGGGCUUGCGGUCGAUACGGGCGGGCUAGAGUUCGGUAGGGGAGACUGGAAUUCCUGGUGUAGCGGUGAAAUGCGCAGAUAUCAGGAGGAACACCGGUGGCGAAGGCGGGUCUCUGGGCCGAUACUGACGCUGAGGAGCGAAAGCGUGGGGAGCGAACAGG